rnacentral:tRNA from 3 species
GGAGAGGUGUCCGAGCGGUCGAAGGAGCACGCCUGGAAAGCGUGUGUACGCGCGAGCGUACCGAGGGUUCGAAUCCCUCCCUCUCCGCCA